rnacentral:lncRNA from 1 species
UGAUGACUAUUAGAUUUUGCAAUAUUAUUCAUAGAUUUAGUUUGUUCUCGUUUAAUAUAUUUUCUUGUCUCGAAGCCUAUUUAUUCUCUUGAGCACUCUCUUCUAGUUAUUUUGAAGGGGGGCUUACACGCUUGUGCUGGCCCAAUGGCAUGUUCAUAUGUGAGCCAACGCAUAAUCUGAUAAAUUCAAUGGCUAUGCCGAGUAGUCGAAAACCCAAGCUAAUGCUUAUUAUUGAACUAUAAGUGUAUCCAAUAGAUGUACCGAUGAUUAUAGACUACAAAUUAAGCACGUUAAAGUAUAUUUGAUUAUUUUGAAAAUGUAAAUUCAGUUGGACUAUAACCUUAAAGAAGAUGCAAUAGGAAUAGGUCCAAAAAUGGGCCAAUAGGGUAUUUGAUAACCUUAAGAUCAUACCCCAUAUCCAAUUAUUAUUGGAUAUAUCAACGAGCAAGAUCUAAUGUUCAAAAUAGAACUAGGAAUUGGAUUUGGGUCCUAAUGAAUGUAGUUCCGGUUCGUGUAUGAAUAUAGAAAGCCUACUUAAAUUAGAUGUGUUACCACCCUAACAAGUACAGCAGCUCAAAUGAUU